GAGGUUGGGAGAGGGAUGCAGAAUUCCAGGUGUAGCGGUGAAAUGCGUAGAUAUCUGGAGGAAUACCGGUGGCGAAGGCGGCAUCCUGGACCGAGAUUGACGCUGAUGAGCGAAAGCUAGGGGAGCAAACGGGAUUAGAUACCCCGGUAGUCCUAGCCCUAAACGAUGAAUGCUUGGUGUGGCGGGUAUCGAUCCCUGCCGUGCCGAAGCUAACGCAUUAAGCAUUCCGCCUGGGGAGUACGGUCGCAAGGCUGAAACUCAAAUGAAUUGACGG
rnacentral:rRNA from 1 species